UACAGAGGGGGCAAGCGUUAUUCGGAUUUACUGGGCGUAAAGCGCACGUAGGCGGGUUGUUAAGUCAGGGGUGAAAUCCUGGAGCUCAACUCCAGAACUGCCUUUGAUACUGGCAACCUAGAGGCUGGAAGAGGUUAGUGGAAUUCCCAGUGUAGAGGUGAAAUUCGUAGAUAUUGGGAAGAACACCAGUGGCGAAGGCGGCUAACUGGUCCAGAUCUGACGCUGAGGUGCGAAAGCGUGGGGAGCAAACAGG
rnacentral:rRNA from 1 species